rnacentral:lncRNA from 1 species
CUGUCAAAAAACUUGUGUCCAAAUUUCUACGUAACCUUAAGCUGACCCCAUCUCCACCUUCAAUCUGGUAAGCUUUCUUUUUCUCAGAAAGCCUGGGUUUUGAUUUUUUGUUUUUUUUAAAUGAUUCGAUCUUUCUUUUAAUAAUUUUGCAUGUGUUUAUGUUUUGUUUCCAGGUUCUUGUUCAGAGCAAUUUAUUGUUAGAUCUUUGUUUGGCUGUUCCAGAAUCGAGAAUGAGUCAUAUCCUUACGAUAUGUUCCUUUUCUCUGAUUUAAGAUCACGCUAAUAUCGAUCCAAUUCUUUGUUUUGAUGAACAAGAUUCUCUUAUCUUCUACUCCCUCUCCCUCUGUUCCAGUUUAUGUGAACCUAUUUCCUUUUUGGUCCGUUCCAAAAAGAAUGAACCCUUUCUAAAUUUGGUAACAAUUUAGCUUAAAGUUGCGUAACUUUAAGCUUUUAUAACCACACAAAUACUCCAUUUGGACUUGUUUAGAAUCACAAGUUCCAAACGGAGGGAGUAUUCGAUUGCCGAGAAAUUGAGAAAAAAUAUCCAAAAUUAAAGAUUUUUUAUUUAAUUUUGUUGGGGUAAUCUAUUAAAUUGGGAAUCCCCUUUCGAGAUAUAUCCUCAAUUGGCUCGGUAUCCAAAGAAUUGGUUUAGUUAGGACCUAAAGAUUGAAUUUUUGUGGCUCAAAGAAUGGCAUUUUUGUUUCUGAUUGUUGUCUGUUUUUGACUUAACUCAAGCUAACGCGGAAAUCAGAGAGAUAGAGAUCGUGAAAGGGCACAAGCCAGGGCAGGUAGCAAACCCAAACAGCCCAAAGGUGAUGGAUUGACCCCUGAACAAAGACGAGAAAGGUUCUUUCUUUCCUCCUAAACAACCCUCA